GGGUCGCUUCAAAAGUAAUGGACCACUCCUCUCGCCGAGCCCAAGAGGUAGGGCCUGUGAGAGUUUCCAUUUUUACCGGUGAAGGAUUUGAGGCUUGGAGAGGGGAAGGAAUGAGCCUAACCCUGAGGCAGAGCCGGCAUGAACUUCCCUGCUGGUCUCUGUUUUAUUCUUUCUCCAGCCCUUCUCUGCACAUGUAAGCCAGCCUCAUCAACUGAACAGCUUGUCAACCUGUGGGUUUCUGCCAUCGGACAGAUUUAAAAAGUGUGUGAGCUGCCAGGACAACACUGGACUCCAUGCCAACCCAGGCACUCCAGCGGGGAGGCUGUCUACAUGAAGGAAUUCUGGAUGAAGAACUGCCUCCCAGGAGGAUGGAUUGUGCCCUGUGAAAUCCUAUUUGACAGUUUUGCAAGUUGGCUCUCUACUACAAACUCAGAGGCCAGUGGACAACAAGCAACCACUAUACCCAAACCAUCACGAAAACAAGAUGAGCCUGACUCCUCAAAUUACUGAUAUUUAAACUUGAUAACCUCAAAGUUGUCACCACCCUACGAAGCUUUAAACUAAAGUAAAAAGGGGUUACCCUGUGGCUUCUACAGCGAAUGGUGAAUUUCAUAACUAAGUCAUGAAGAAUUGCCUCAAGAUCUAAGAUCAAUGACCUCUCAGGAUUGCUGGGGUGAACCGGAAAACCACUGAGCUCUUUCUAACUGUGGAACUGACAACAGUCUUUACUGAUGCGUGGAUUACACAUCCACAGAAUGGGGAGCAAUGAAGCCCCAUUAUCAAGAGAACUUUGUGCCACAUAUUCGAAAAGUGAAAAGCUCAACAAGCC
rnacentral:lncRNA from 1 species